GCCGCUCGGCGGCGGGAGCGUGGCUGCUCGCCUGAAGCAUAUGAUGCUGCGAGGCCGCUCGGCGGUGGGAGCGCCGGUGCUCGCUUGAAGCAUACGAUGUUGCGAGGCCACUUGCCGGCGGGAGCGUCGGUGCUGCGAGGCUGCUCGCCGGAAUCAUCGGGUGUUGCGAGGUGCUUGCCGACAAGAGCGUCAGUGCUGCGAGGUGUUCGCCGGAAGCAUCCAAGGCCGCCGGCGAUGCCCGGAGGCGAUGUCGCGUGGGAGUGUCAGAGUUGUUGUGCUGCUAGGAGUGGUGCUGCGACACUGUGAGGAAGAGGACCUCUGAUGCCUGCGUGUCACGUGCACAAAGAAAGCAGUGUGCAGAAGAAGAGAGAAGGGAUCAAACGGCCGCGCUCGAGCGCAUCAGACGGCUGUAGGGGCGGUUGUUAUUUUCGCCUCCUACAUCUGGAUGGCGCCUAGCACGCGCCCUUUUAAAUUUCUGAAAAGUUUUCGGAAAUUGAACCAUAAUUGAAGGGAAACGCUGAUGAUCUACCGACUGAUUUCUGGGAAAAAGUCCGCCACCUGCAGCAGUUGACACGUGUUCUAAGGCCCACACAACACGUUGCCAUGUUUCCAGAAAAAUCUCACGCAUCUUAUCCCCAUCCGUCUUCUCCUUUCCUCAUCGUCCCCAUGCUGGUCCAACCGCAGCCAUGGCUAGGCCAGCGCGGAGGCGCGCCACCACCACCACCACAGAUGCAGCCCGCCCGGUUCACUCCGCCGUCGGCCAUGGGCACGGCCCCGCACAACCGCCGGAGCUCCAAUACCUGCCGGCCACCUAGCGGCGACAACGCAUCCCUGUCGACCGGAUUGAUGGACCCACAAAAUAUGCCACGCCGACGGGGAGCGCCAUCUUAUCUCUGCAACAACGGUGUUGUUACAGGAAUGGUGGAAGACUACGCAAGUAUGCGAGCGCCCGGAGAUGCUUUUUGCAGUUUUUGCAACAUGAGUCAUAUUGUAGAAAUUUAGAUGCGGCGGAGAUGUUGCAUUAACUUUUGCAACAAGAGUCUUGAUGCAGAAAAUUAGACGCAACAGAAAAUGUUGUUGUAAUUUUUGGAGUGAAUUCCGGUUUUACCUCCUAUUUUGACAUUUUUGACACUACU